CUGUCAUUAAUUUUAACUUAAUAUGAAGUGCUUCUCUCGCACAAACACGUUUCAGAGAUGAUUCUGUUUUUUUGCUCAGCUGCCCAAGCUUGAGCUUGGAUGAGCAACUUUUAGCUCAAACUUUAUUUUAUUUUGAUCGAUGCUUUAUGAUUACAGCUGGAUAUCCAAGUCAGCAGACACUUGAGAACUUAAAUUGAGGUGCAAAACCCGGAAGUGAGGUAGCGUAAGGGGAGUCCAUAGCGCGAGACAACUACAACGGAACUUAGCUAGGCCUACAACCACAAAGAUCAAUCCCACAGUGGAGACGAACGAGGUUCGAUAUGAAAAAUCGUCUAAACGAGGACCACAGCGUUACCGUUUUGAGCCUCCAAGGCGUCCAAGGUACCGGAAACAGGGGAGGAGGAUAAUUAACGGGGAUCGGCUCGGGAGCGAGACUGAGCAGAACUUGUGGCGAGGUGGAAUUAUCCAGGCAGACUCCCCGUCCGGCUGUGUCUCAGAGCCAGGAAGAUGAGGAUGCUGCAGAGAGAGGCAGCACCAGGUUUCCAUGGUGAAGAGGGCGGGGUUCCCCCCCCCCCUCAGGGCCCAGUCAUGGUGGCGUUGGCCCAGGACGGGAACUCGUUGAGGCCGAACAUGGCUGCUCCCCAGGUGUUGAGGGCCAGGUUGAUGGUGAAGACGCCGAUGAUGUUGAGCAUGAAGCCUGCUUUUGCCUGCACCAAGGGAAGGACGAGAACCGUGAAUUAUGACUUUCAUAAAGAAGCACUGUGUGGAGAAGGCGAUGGCGUUGGGCGCCGUGGCAACCGGGAGCAUGAAGGCCAGGGAGGCGGAGAUGGUGCAGGGGAGCAUGACGUAGAGAGGGUGGAUCUUAAUGGAAAUGGCCUGGAGGACACACACACACACAC